rnacentral:misc_RNA from 1 species
GGCUGGAUCCCUGGCCUGCCUCUGCAUCCUGUCUCUUCCCUGCGGCAUUCCCAUAUCAGGCUGGCAGAAGAGAUGCAAGUUUAUAGUGGAGUGUCAUGGCAACACGCUUUUGCCACAGUUCCUGGGCAUGUACCGCCUGACCGUGGAUGGUGUGGAAACCUACAUGGUGGUUACCAGGAACGUGUUCAGCCAUCGGCUCACUGUGCAUCGCAAGUAUGACCUCAAGGGUUCUACGGUUGCCAGAGAAGCGAGCGACAAGGAGAAGGCCAAGGACUUGCCAACAUUCAAAGACAAUGACUUCCUCAAUGAAGGGCAGAAGCUGCAUGUGGGAGAGGAGAGUAAAAAGAACUUCCUGGAGAAACUGAAGCGGGACGUUGAGUUCUUGGCACAGCUGAAGAUCAUGGACUACAGCCUGCUGGUGGGCAUCCACGACGUGGACCGGGCAGAGCAGGAGGAGAUGGAGGUGGAGGAGCGGGCA